rnacentral:rRNA from 1 species
AAAGAUUAAGCCAUGCAUGUCUAAGUACAUGUGUAUUUAACACGAAACCGCGUAUGGCUCAUUAUAACAGCUAAAAUUUACUUGAUUUUGACUUUUAUCCUACAUGGAUAACUGUGGUAAUUCUGGAGCUAAUACAUGCAUAAAAGAUAUAACAUUUAUAUGUUAUAUUGCGUAUAUUAGUAUUAAAACCAAGCAUUCUUCGGAAUGUUUUGUGUUGAAACUGAAUAUAUCAUGCUGAUCGUAUGGUCUUGUACCGACGACAUGUCAUUCAAGUGUCUGAUCUAUCAACUUUCUAUAUAAGUAUAUAGUACUUAUAUGGUUUUGACGGAUAACGGGGUAUUAGGGUACGACUCCGGAGAAAAUGCCUGAGAAACGGCGUUUACAUCCAAGGAAGGCAGCAGGCGCGAAAAUUACCCACUCUCAGUACGAGGAGGUAGUGACGAGAAAUGACAAGAUCUAUUCCUUCGGGGAUGGAUCAUUGGAAUGGUUUGAUUUUAAAAUCAUUAAAGAGUAUCAAUGAGAGGGCAAGUCUGGUGCCAGCAGCCGCGGUAAUUCCAGCUCUCAUACUGCAUUGAAUUGUUGUUGCGGUUAAAAAGCUCGUAGUUGGAUCUGUACAUGAUAGGUUAGUUCAUCCUUUGGAUUGUAACUAAUACUAAAUGUUUUUUAUUAGAUUUUUUAUUUUUUUACGAAAAUAAACGUCUAAUGAGUUUACUUUGAAUAAAUCAGAGUGCUCAAAACAGGCGUAAGCUUGUAUGGUUUUGCAUGGAAUAAUAGAACAUGACUAUGGUUCAUGUUUUAUUGGUUUUACUUACCAUAGUAAUGAUUAAAAGGAACAAACGGGGGCAUCCGUAUCGCAGGGCGAGAGGUGAAAUUCGUGGACCCUUGCGAGACGAACUACAGCGAAAGCAUUUGCCAAGAAUG